rnacentral:rRNA from 1 species
UACGUAGGCAGCAAGCGUUGUUCAGAGUUACUGGGCGUAAAGGGUGCGUAGGCGGCCUUAUAAGUAUGGUGUGAAAUCUCCCGGCUUAACUGGGAGGGUGCGCUAUAGACUGUGGGGCUAGAGUGUGGGAGAGGAAAGUGGAAUUCCUGGUGUAGCGGUGAAAUGCGUAGAUAUCAGGAGGAACACCGGUGGUGUAAACGGCUUUCUGGACCAUAACUGACGCUGAGGCACGAAAGCGUGGGUAGCAAACAGG